CUUCAACCAAUUUGAAUUUGAUUCAAAUUAAUAAGAGGAUAAGAAGGAAACAAAUCAGGGAUAAAAGGAAAGAAAGAUGGUGCCAACCUAUCCUUCGCACAUUGAGAAAGAAGUUGGUGUGAGAAGAAAUCAGAUUUGAUUUCUUUCUCACACCACUCUUCUUUCUUGAUGACAAAAUUAUUGGACAUCCCUCUUGUUUGGCACGUAAUAAUUUGCGGCAUCUCCUUAAACCCUAAUUCCAAUGCCCCCUAUAAAAGAGGGUCCAAAAGUUGGAUGCCUUGAGUAAGAAAGAAAAAAGAAAAAGGAGAAGAGAAAAUUAUUUUCUGACAUCGAGCCUCCUCCUCUUGUUCUUCUUCAAUUCAUUUCAUAGUGUCUGUG
rnacentral:lncRNA from 1 species